UAGGUACUCCCUCCGUUCGGAAUUACUUGUCGCAGAAAUGGAUGUAUCUAGACGUAUUUUAGUUCUAGAUACAUCCAUUUCCGAGACAAGUAAUUCCGAACGGAGGGAGUAAAUG
rnacentral:pre_miRNA from 1 species